UACGUAGGGUGCAAGCGUUGUCCGGAAUUAUUGGGCGUAAAGAGCUUGUAGGCGGGUUGUCGCGUCUGCUGUGAAAUUUCGGGGCUCAACCCCGAACUUGCAGUGGGUACGGGCAGACUAGAGUGUGGUAGGGGAGACUGGAAUUCCUGGUGUAGCGGUGAAAUGCGCAGAUAUCAGGAGGAACACCGGUGGCGAAGGCGGGUCUCUGGGCCGAUAUUGACGCUGAGGCACGAAAGCUAGGGGAGCAAACAGG
rnacentral:rRNA from 1 species